rnacentral:lncRNA from 1 species
GAAAGGUUCGUAUUGGGCUUAUAUGUUGGUUUUGGGUUUCGGGGCCCAAAAGCGUUUUGGUCCAAAAAGCCCAUUAUGAUUAAGUUGUAUGACAACUAAAACAAAAUGGGCAAAUAGCCCAAUAACAUUAAUAUGGCCGGCCAUUAGGGUGAAUGGGCAAGCUUGGAUUAAUUACAAGUUUGCCACUCACUUGAAAUGAAGUAUAAAAGGAACUUUAUAGCUUUAUUUCUAAUUUAAGGUUUUUCUUGGUGAAAUGAGGUGAAAUACUUUCUCUCUAUUUCUCUAAAGAGGCCGGCCACUUAGGAAGAUUAAUCUAGCAAUCUCUUCUUCCCUAAGUCAUCCAUUUCAUCUUCAUACUUAACCCUUGGUGUGGAGACUUAGAGACACCAAACUUUUGGUGUUUUGGAGAUCCUUUCCUUACAUCCACAAAGUCCAAAGGAGCAUAAAAGGAGAAGGAAAUCACAAGCAAUAUCCAAGGAGCUUGGAGGUGACUUGAAGGCCCUCCACUUGGGUGAAUCCCUUGUGUAAACAAGGAUGAGCUUCAAGGGUAAAGAAACUCUAAAUCUUUACUUCUCUUUAAUGUUGUUAAAGAGUCUUUAGGUUCACCAUAUACUAGGCUUUGAAAGUCAUGGGUUUUAUAAUUGAUUUUUGGAUGCAUGCCUACUUUAAAGUGUUAAUAGCUUGCAUAUGUAUUUAAAUGUUCAUACUUGUUCUUAGCUAGGACAAAUUUUUCCUUCACUUAUACUAUUCACCCGCACCGCACGCUCACCUUGGAUCCAAGUAGGUGCAUGUCGUACAGACCAUGUGAGGGUUCCGACAUGCUAGUCGUAUAGAUCACUAAAGGUGGUUCCGACUAGUAGGUGACCUUAGAUUAUGCGUGCAGAUGAUUGAGGAGAGAAGCACUAGAGCGUAUUCUUACACCUUUCUUAUCAUACAGACUACUUUAGGUAGUUCCGAUUUAUGUGCAGAGUAGUGUCGUACAGGUCAUCGUAGUGACUCCGGCUGGAUUGGAUAUUGAGCUAUGGAAUUAAUCAUAGAGGACCAACUGCAGGGUCUCCGGUUGAUUCAUUAUGUCACCUGUUAUUUUGAUGCAUCCAUGUUCUGUUAUUGACAUUUAUGGCAUGGCAUAUUUCGUGAUUUGUGAUAGAUUGAUGAUUUGAGGCAUAUGAGGAUUUAUAUAUGUUAUUUUCUAGGAAAGUAUAUAGGUUUUACAGUGAGGGGUUAGAAAUGUUUUAAAUGAAAUGUUUUGGAAAACUUUGGUUUUACUGACCCA